rnacentral:rRNA from 1 species
AUGGAACGCAACAAGGCUCCAGGACCGGAUGGUUUUCUAGCAGAGUUUUAUCAAUGCUUUUGGAAUGUGAUCAAGGCGGACUUGGUUCACUUGUUUAACCAGCUGCAUACCGAGGACUAUGAUAUUUCUCGCUUAAACUUUGGGGAGAUUAUCCUACUGCCUAAGAUUAAGGGGGGCAGUCGUAUUCAACAACAUCGACCGAUUUGCCUUCUCAAUGUAAGCUUCAAAAUCUUUACGAAGGUCGCAACUAACCGGUUGAACGGGGUGGCUGACCAUGUCGUCAAGCACUCAAACAACAUUCAUGCAAGGACGCACGUACUAGAUGGUGUGGUUGUGCUGCAUGAAAUGGUACAUAAGCUUCACCACAAAAAGUUGAAUGGAGUGAUAUUUAAAAUAGAUUUUGAAAAAGUCUAUGAUAAAGUUAAAUGGCCCUUUCUGUUGAAAACUUUACGCACGAACGGUUUUUCACCAAAAUGGUAUCGAUGGGUUGAGAGUUUUGUUUCUGGAGGUAGUGUGGCCAUCAUAGUUAACGAUGAGGUUGGCAACUAUUUUCAAACAAGGAAGGGGUUUCGCCAAGGGGACCCCGCAUCACCCGUUUUGUUUAACAUUGUGGCUGACAUGUUAGCUACCCUUGUUGAGCGGGCUAAGGUGUCUGGUCAGGUUAGCGGCGUCAUUCCUCAUUUGGCAGAAGAGGGUUUAUCUAUCUGA